CACGGGAUUUAAAUUUGACUUUGGCGCGAUUUUUUCCCUAUUUUGGAGCCCCCUGUCCUUUAUAAACAACAAUCAGCGGUUGUAAGUACAAAUAUUUUCAAAAUGGUUGACAAGAACCCACGACGACGCUUUUAAAACGUUCAUAGUUUUGGGAUUUCGCAGUGCUUUGUCCAAAACACUUGGUAUUAGCUUACAGUUCUCAUGAAAUACACGCUAUUUUAAAAGCGUUUGGCGGAGCGCGUACAAGCUAAGAUGAAUCUAAAUCAAUACAAAAGGAGAGAUCAACUGUUGUACAAGAAAUGUAGACGUAAACAAUUCGUCUUCGAGUUCUUGGAGCAACACUACACUGGCCUCAACUUGGUAAACAAUGGGGAUUUUACUGUACAUAAUAGGAGUUUACAUUGCGAGAUUAUACUGUAAAAUUGAGUUAGUCGGGCGGAAUAAUGGCAAAUCGUG